rnacentral:rRNA from 1 species
AUGUGCCGAGAGGUGAAACAUUUAUGGCCUGUAGAUGAGCUCGCGUCUGAUUAGCUAGUUGGUGGGGUAAGAGCUUACCAAGGCGACGAUCAGUAGCUGGUCUGAGAGGAUGAUCAGCCACACUGGGACUGAGACACGGCCCAGACUCCUACGGGAGGCAGCAGUGGGGAAUUUUCCGCAAUGGGCGCAAGCCUGACGGAGCAACGCCGCGUGGGGGAGGAAGGUUUUUGGACUGUAAACCCCUUUUCUCAGGGAAGAAGAAAGUGACGGUACCUGAGGAAUAAGCCUCGGCUAAUUCCGUGCCAGCAGCCGCGGUAAUACGGGAGAGGCAAGCGUUAUCCGGAAUUAUUGGGCGUAAAGCGUCCGCAGGCGGUUAAUCAAGUCUGUUGUCAAAGCGUGGGGCUCAACCUCAUAAGGGCAAUGGAAACUGAUUGACUAGAGUAUGGUAGGGGUAGCGGGAAUUCCAGGUGUAGCGGUGAAAUGCGUAGAUAUCUGGAAGAACACCAGCGGCGAAAGCGCGCUACUGGGC